rnacentral:rRNA from 1 species
UACGUAGGGGGCAAGCGGUUGUCCGGAUUUAUUGGGCGUAAAGAGCGUGUAGGCGGUUAGGUAGGUCCGUUGUGAAAACUCGAGGCUCAACCUCGAGACGCCGAUGGAAACCAUCUGACUAGAGUCCGGAAGAGGAGAGUGGAAUUCCUGGUGUAGCGGUGGAAUGCGCAGAUAUCAGGAGGAACACCAAUGCGAAGGCAGAUCUCUGGGCCGUAACUGACGCUGAGGAGCGAAAGCAUGGGGAGCGAACAGG